AUUAUCGGCCGAUAUGAUCGACCGCCGAUCAAUCAUCCCAACGGGAUUAUCGGCCAAUAGUGAUCAGUAGCCGAUCAAUCGGAGCACCC